AUUGAACGCUGGCGGCAGGCCUAACACAUGCAAGUCGAGCGGAGCGGCGGACGGGAGAGUAAUACCUAGGAAUCUGCCUGGUAGUGGGGGAUAACGUCCGGCAACGGGCGCUAAUACCGCAUACUAUCAGAUUACCCUAGGUCGGAUUAGGUAGUUGGUGGGGUAAAGGCCUACCAGGGCGACGAGCCGUAACGGGUCUGAGAGGAUGAUCAGUAAAACUGGAACUGAGACACGGUCCAGACUCAUACGGGAGGCAGAAGGGGGGAAGAUUGGACAAUGGGCGAAAGCCUGAUCCAGACAUGCCGCGUGUGUGAAGAAGGUCUUCGGAUUGUAAAGCACGUUAAGUUGGGAGGCGUUACCAACAUAAUAAGCACCGGCUAACUUCGUGCCAGCAGCCGCGGUAAUAC
rnacentral:rRNA from 1 species